GGAGAAGAAAAAGGAGAAGAAGAAAAAGAAGAAGGAGAAGAAAAGAAGGAGAAGGAGAAGAAAAAGGAGAAGAAGAAAAAGAAGAAGGAGAAGAAAAAGAACGAGAAGAAGAAGACAGCCCACUGAACUCUGGGAAAUGUUGAUACUGGCCCAAGGAACAAAUGGUUAAAUUUUGGCAGUGAUCGGGUGGAGGUCUGCGCUCUCCAAGUGCUUCUUCUGUGGGUGUGGUGUAAUUCCUGGAGGUUCAGGACGUGAACCUUGUUCUGACGCCGUGGGACCAGAACUGACGACCCAAUGACCUACAAGCGUUUAUUUGGACAGACUCCACCCAAUGAGACAACGUGACGGACAGAGGACGUCCUCCAGCUGGACCAGGACCAGGACCAGGUCCACCAGAACAGAACCGCAGACCCGGUCCACUGGAACAGGACCAGGACACCCAGUGGACGGGAACAGUAAAUAAUAUGAACAACCUGAAUGUUUGAAAGAAAAAUAACGGCAGUUUUAGGGGAGAAGUUCAGGGAAAUGACAAAGUUUAAGAUCUGAAGAUGUCAAACCGCAAAGAAAAGAUUCUGUUUAUCAAAUAAAGGUGUAAAACUAUGGAACAGACUGAAACUAAAAACAGUUUAAAAACAAAUACAAACAAAGGACUUUUACAAAA